CCUACGGGUGGCAGCAGUGGGGAAUAUUGGACAAUGGGGGGAACCCUGAUCCAGCCAUGCCGCGUGUGUGAAGAAGGCCCUCGGGUUGUAAAGCACUUUCAGUGAGGAAGAACGCCUGGUGGUUAAAACCCAUCAGGAAAGACAUCACUCACAGAAGAAGCACCGGCUAACUCCGUGCCAGCAGCCGCGGUAAUACGGAGGGUGCGAGCGUUAAUCGGAAUUACUGGGCGUAAAGCGCGCGUAGGUGGCUUGAUAAGCCGGUUGUGAAAGCCCCGGGCUCAACCUGGGAACGGCAUCCGGAACUGUCAAGCUAGAGUGCAGGAGAGGAAGGUAGAAUUCCCGGUGUAGCGGUGAAAUGCGUAGAGAUCGGGAGGAAUACCAGUGGCGAAGGCGGCCUUCUGGACUGACACUGACACUGAGGUGCGAAAGCGUGGGUAGCAAACAGGAUUAGAUACCCUGGUAGUC
rnacentral:rRNA from 1 species